rnacentral:rRNA from 1 species
UUGCCCUAUAGGAUGAUCCUGGGUCGGAUUAUCUAGUUGGGGGGGUAAUGGCUCACCAAGGCGACGAUCCGUAACUGGUCUGAGAGGAUGAUCAGUCACACUGGAACUGAGACACGGUCCAGACUCCUACGGGAGGCAGCAGUGGGGAAUAUUGGACAAUGGGCGAAAGCCUGAUCCAGCCAUGCCGCGUGUGUGAAGAAGGUCUUCGGAUUGUAAAGCACUUUAAGUUGGGAGGAAGGGCAGUUGCCUAAUACGUAACUGUUUUGACGUUACCGACAGAAUAAGCACCGGCUAACUCUGUGCCAGCAGCCGCGGUAAUACAGAGGGUGCAAGCGUUAAUCGGAAUUACUGGGCGUAAAGCGCGCGUAGGUGGUUUGUUAAGUUGGAUGUGAAAUCCCCGGGCUCAACCUGGGAACUGCAUUCAAAACUGACUGACUAGAGUAUGGUAGAGGGUGGUGGAAUUUCCUGUGUAGCGGUGAAAUGCGUAGAUAUAGGAAGGAACACCAGUGGCGAAGGCGACCACCUGGACUGAUACUGACACUGAGGUGCGAAAGCGUGGGGAGCAAACAGGAUUAGAUACCCU